rnacentral:tRNA from 1 species
GUUGUAGCUCAGUGGCAGAGCGCUUGCCUAGCAUGCAUGAGGCACUGAGUUCAAUCCUUAGCACAACA